rnacentral:rRNA from 1 species
AGCGAACGCUAGCGGCGGGCCUAACACAUGCAAGUCGAGCGCAUACCUUCGGGUAUGAGCGGCGGACGGGUGAGUAACGCGUAGGUCAUCUACCCUUUGGUGGGGGAUAACCCAGGGAAACUUGGGCUAAUACCGCACGAGGUCUACGGAUCAAAGCCUUCGGGCGCCAGAGGAUGAGCCUGCGUCGCAUUACCUAGUUGGCGGGGUAACGGCCCACCAAGGGGACGAUGCGUAGCUGGUCUGAGAGGAUGAUCAGCCACACUGGGACUGAGACACGGCCCAGACUCCUACGGGAGGCAGCAGUGGGGAAUAUUGCGCAAUGGGGGGAAACCCUGACGCAGCCACGCCGCGUGGGUGAUGAAGGCCUUCGGGUUGUAAAGCCCUGUCGGGAGGGACGAAGUUCUUGACGGUACCUCCAAAGAAAGCACCGGCUAACUCCGUGCCAGCAGCCGCGGUAAU